UGGUGGGGGCUACCUGCAGUCGAACGGUAACAGGAAGCAGCUUGCUGUUUCGCUGACGAGUGGCGGACGGGUGAGUAAUGUCUGGGAAACUGCCUGAUGGAGGGGGAUAACUACUGGAAACGGUAGCUAAUACCGCAUAACGUCGCAAGACCAAAGAGGGGGACCUUCGGGCCUCUUGCCAUCGGAUGUGCCCAGAUGGGAUUAGCUAGUAGGUGGGGUAACGGCUCACCUAGGCGACGAUCCCUAGCUGGUCUGAGAGGAUGACCAGCCACACUGGAACUGAGACACGGUCCAGACUCCUACGGGAGGCAGCAGUGGGGAAUAUUGCACAAUGGGCGCAAGCCUGAUGCAGCCAUGCCGCGUGUAUGAAGAAGGCCUUCGGGUUGUAAAGUACUUUCAGCGGGGAGGAAGGGAGUAAAGUUAAUACCUUUGCUCAUUGACGUUACCUGCAGAAGAAGCACCGGCUAACUCCGUGCCAGCAGCCGCGGUAAUACGGAGGGUGCAAGCGUUAAUCGGAAUUACUGGGCGUAAAGCGCACGCAGGCGGUUUGUUAAGUCAGAUGUGAAAUCCCCGGGCUCAACCUGGGAACUGCAUCUGAUACUGGCAAGCUUGAGUCUCGUAGAGGGGGGUAGAAUUCCAGGUGUAGCGGUGAAAUGCGUAGAGAUCUGGAGGAAUACCGGUGGCGAAGGCGGCCYCCUGGACGAAGACUGACGCUCAGGUGCGAAAGCGUGRGGAGCAAACAGGAUUAGAUACCCUGGUAGUCCACGCCGUAAACGAUGUCGACUUGGAGGUUGUGCCCUUGAGGCGUGGCUUCCGGAGCUAACGCGUUAAGUCGACCGCCUGGGGAGUACGGCCGCAAGGUUAAAACUCAAAUGAAUUGACGGGGGCCCGCACAAGCGGUGGAGCAUGUGGUUUAAUUCGAUGCAACGCGAAGAACCUUACCUGGUCUUGACAUCCACGGAAGUUUUCAGAGAUGAGAAUGUGCCUUCGGGAACCGUGAGACAGGUGCUGCAUGGCUGUCGUCAGCUCGUGUUGUGAAAUGUUGGGUUAAGUCCCGCAACGAGCGCAACCCUUAUCCUUUGUUGCCAGCGGUCCGGCCGGGAACUCAAAGGAGACUGCCAGUGAUAAACUGGAGGAAGGUGGGGAUGACGUCAAGUCAUCAUGGCCCUUACGACCAGGGCUACACACGUGCUACAAUGGCGCAUACAAAGAGAAGCGACCUCGCGAGAGCAAGCGGACCUCAUAAAGUGCGUCGUAGUCCGGAUUGGAGUCUGCAACUCGACUCCAUGAAGUCGGAAUCGCUAGUAAUCGUGGAUCAGAAUGCCACGGUGAAUACGUUCCCGGGCCUUGUACACACCGCCCGUCACACCAUGGGAGUGGGUUGCAAAAGAAGUAGGUAGCUUAACCUUCGGGAGGGCGCUUACCACCAUG
rnacentral:rRNA from 1 species